GACGAACGCUGGCGGCGUGCUUAACACAUGCAAGUCGAACGAUGACGCCCGAGCUUGCUCGGUCUGAUUAGUGGCGAACGGGUGAGUAACACGUGAGCAACCUGCCCUUCACUCUGGGAUAACCUCGGGAAAUCGGGGCUAAUACCGGAUAUGAGCUCCUGUCGCAUGGCGGGGGUUGGAAAGUUUUUCGGUGAAGGAUGGGCUCGCGGCCUAUCAGUUUGUUGGUGGGGUAGUGGCUCACCAAGGCGAUGACGGGUAGCCGGCCUGAGAGGGCGACCGGCCACACUGGGACUGAGACACGGCCCAGACUCCUACGGGAGGCAGCAGUGGGGAAUAUUGCACAAUGGGCGAAAGCCUGAUGCAGCGACGCCGCGUGAGGGAUGACGGCCUUCGGGUUGUAAACCUCUUUCAGCAGGGAAGAAGCGAAAGUGACGGUACCUGCAGAAGAAGCGCCGGCUAACUACGUG
rnacentral:rRNA from 1 species